CAGACAGCAAUGCUCCGCUAAUCACACCGUUCCUCGGCGGACGAUAUGGACCACGCCGCUGGCAGCUGAUAACCUGGACCUGUUCGUAGUUUAGGGUGGGGUCCUGGAGAGGGAACAGUUAUGUGGAAACUCUGGACCAUACUGUUCUGCCAGGUGGCAGUAAAUCUGACCUACCACACCAUCAGAGCCAACCAAUGCCUUGGAGGACAGGACAUCUUAGCGACCGUCAGAGAAAACAGCCCCCCUGGAGAGUUCAUCG